CGUCUUGAAACACGGACCAAGGAGUCUAGCAUGUGCGCGAGUCAUUGGGAAUCACUAAACCUAAAGGCGCAAUGAAAGUGAAGGUCCGCCCUGCGCGGACCGAGGGAGGAUGAGUCGACCUGGCGUGUCACAGCGUCAGCAACCGGCUCCGCACUCCCGGGGCGUCUCGUUCUCACUGCGAGAAGAGGCGCACCAAGAGCGUACACGCUGGGACCCGAAAGAUGGUGAACUAUGCCUGGUCAGGACGAAGUCAGGGGAAACCCUGAUGGAGGUCCGUAGCGAUUCUGACGUGCAAAUCGAUCGUCGGAACUGGGUAUAGGGGCGAAAGACUAAUCGAACCAUCUAGUAGCUGGUUCCCUCCGAAGUUUCCCUCAGGAUAGCUGGCGCUCGUCGCCUACGAGUCUCAUCCGGUAAAGCGAAUGAUUAGAGGCAUUGGGGUCGAAACGGCCUCAACCUAUUCUCAAACUUUAAAUGGGUGAGAUCUCCGGCUUGCUCGAACUAUUGAAGCCGCGAGACACGGAUCAGAGUGCCAAGUGGGCCAUUUUUGGUAAGCAGAACUGGCGCUGUGGGAUGAACCAAACGCCGAGUUAAAGCGCCUAAAUCGACGCUUAUGGGAUACCAUGAAAGGCGUUGGUAACUUAAGACAGCAGGACGGUGGCCAUGGAAGUCGGAAUCCGCUAAG
rnacentral:rRNA from 1 species